rnacentral:rRNA from 1 species
AGCGAACGCUGGCGGCAGGCUUAACACAUGCAAGUCGAGCGCCCUGCAAGGGGAGCGGCAGACGGGUGAGUAACGCGUGGGAAUCUACCGAGCCCUAAGGAAUAGCUCCGGGAAACUGGAAUUAAUACCUUAUACGCCCUUUGGGGGAAAGAUUUAUCGGGGUUUGUUGAGCCCGCGUUGGACUAGCUAGUGGGUGGGGUAAAGGCCUACCAAGGCGACGAUCCAUAGCUGGUCUGAGAGGAUGAUCAGCCACAUUGGGACUGAGACACGGCCCAAACUACUAUGGGAGGCAGCAGUGAGGAAUAUUGGACAAUGGGCGCAAGCCUGAGCCAGACAUGCCGCGUGAGUGAUGGAGGCCUUAGGGUUGUAAAGCUCUUUCAACGGUGAAGAUAAUGACGGUAACCGUAGAAGAAGCCCCGGCUAACUUCGUGCCAGCCGCCGCGGUAAGAC